rnacentral:lncRNA from 1 species
AUAACUGCUUCCACCUCCCAUUCUCCACUAUUUUGGUAUAGAUAUUUCAUCCUAAAAUCAAACAUGGAGACUUCUGUUUCAGGCCAUUUCAGAUUUCCUAAAACUGAAAUUGCCUUCCCGCUAUUAAUAAAUAGAAAAAUUGAUAAAAUAUACAAGGAAACUGUUUUCAGACAUUGCACAACAAACAGCCCUUGACUGGAAUCCCCUAAAGAAAGGAAAUAAAAUGCCAGGUCCUAUAAUCACCCCAGCUCUCUGCCUAGAGGUAAAUGAGUCUCUUUUCAUCAAAGAGGAAGAGAUCCGAGUUCAAGAGGCUGAAACAGUCAGAACAGAGUACUACAGAGAGAAAACUUUGCAGAGAAAACUUUGCAGAGAAAAAGCUCCAGAAAUCUUCUGACUGUUCCCCUUAAGUUUGUUGCUAAAAACUAAUAUGCACAGGCAGAGUGAGGUCUCAUGAGGCCAGGUGAGAAUACCAGGAAGCUAUAAACUGAUCUAUUCUCAGAGCUCAACCAGGGAAACGGAACAUUUGAGUUCUAACCAUCCUGAAUAAGAAAUUCUCAUUGAACACACAGGGCAUUUGGUAAAAACCAUGGAAGUGAAUCACCUUAGUAACCAGAUUCAACAAGUUAUACAUGAAGAUUACUCUUACCCACCCAUGUAGAAGGAGUUCUAAGAUGGUCUCCCAAAUACUUGCCGCUGUCAUACAGCUUUGUACAAACCCUCCACCCCCUCCCGUUGGGUAUGCAUGGAACAUAAUCCUCUUAACAAAGAAGCUACAUUUACUUGUAAUGUUAAAACUCUGAGCAAACUAGGAAUACAAAUAAACUUCCAUAGAAGAUGAGUAAAAAUUAAUAACAUAGAAAAUGAAAAAGAAUAAAAAAUAAAUUGAAGAAAAAAAUAGAAAAUCUGAAGAGCCUUAUAUCUAUUAAAGAAACUGGAUUUUUUACUUAAAAUAUUUUCUUUUUUAUUUGGUUUAGGGCUGUACCCGCAGCAUACAGACAUAUCCAGGCUAGAGGUCCAAUCAGAGCUAUAGCCUCUAGCCUACGCCAGAGCCACAGCAAUGCCAGAUUCAAGCCACAUCUGCAACCUACAUCACAGGUCACGGCAAUGCUGGAUCCUUAACCCACUGAGCAAGACCAAGGAUUGAGCCUGUGUCCUCAUGCAUACUAGUCAGAUUCAUUUCCUCUGAGCCAUGACUGGAACUCCAAAAUAUUUUCUUAAUUAAAAAAAAAAAAUCUUUUCAAAUCCUGGAUAAGCCUGACAUAAAUAAACAAACAAAUAAAUAUUUUUGAAAACUUGUCAUGAGAAAGUAAAAUAAAACUUAAAAACCUUUGGGCUCAUAUGACUUUAUUGGUAUAAAAAUAGAAAGGAAAAAUAUCCAACAACCAUUCAUGAUAAUAACUCCAAGAAAACUAGGGAUAGAAGGGAAUGUUUUUAACCUGAUAAGCAAUAGCUACAAAAAACCACAGAGCUCACAUCACACUAAAGGUGGAAAUAUAAUAAUUUCCCACUAAGAUCAAAAAUAAAAAUCUUAUCUCUUCUACUUAAUUUUGUUCGGAUGCAAAAAGGGGGAAAGUGAAAUAAAAUUCAGACAGAUUGGGAAUGAUUUCAUAAUACUGCAUAGAGAAAAUCUAAAGAAAUACACAAGAAAGAUACCAGAAUUAAUAAGUGAAUUUAGCAAGAUGGAGAAUAUAUAGCUGAGAAAAAAACACUUAUAUUUCUAUAUAAAUGCAGUAAAAUAAAGCUGGAAAUUUACAUUUAAUAAUUAAUCUUAUAAUAGCAUCCAGAAACAAGAUAUUCAGAAUAAAUUUAACAAAUUUGGGCAAGACAUGUAAAGUGAAAACUACAAAAUAGUGCUGAAAUUAAAGAUUUAAAUCAGUGAAGAAAUAUACCCUAUUUAAGGAUCAAAGACUGAAAAUUAAGAUGUCAGUUAUCUCAAAAUUGGUCUUUAGAAUCAAUACAGUCCUAUCCAAGAACAUUAUCACUUUUCAUUCUCCCUUAUUAUUACCACUGAUUUGCUUUCAUUGUUCCAUGUGAAAACCAAAGUUAAAUGAAGAGUAUUUCUGAGUCUAUGUAUGGAGUUGGGAAAAAUUUUUUCUAUAGGCAGAAUGGAAGGAAUAAUAGUGAUUUAUUCUUAGGAAACAUCAGUGUUUAGGACAUGGGUAGAAAAAGAGAAAUAGGAAGUGAAACUGAGGGUAAGUUACAUGAAGUAUUUCAAGAAGAAAAGUAAGGACAGUUAAUUUGUUACCAAGAAAUCCAAUAGAAUGAAGAAGGAAGUGAAGAGAGACCAGAAUAUAAAAAGGGAGUUUUGUAGUAUCCAUAACAAACACCUCAGUAAACGUGUCCCCCGGUUCCUGUGUUCCUUCCUUUAAGAAAUCACCCCUCAUUCACCUAUCCAGAGAGGAGUACACUUUCAAUCAUGUUCAUCCUGUGCCCCAUUAGCAUAAUUUGACGGCUGGUGCUAUCCCAGUAAAGUUCUCUCUCCUAAGUCAGAGUGGCAUUCUACCAAGUUCUCUUACUCAGUGUGGGAUUAUUUUGAGGAUUUACAUUUUUAAGUUUGUUGUUUGGCUAUUCCUGCCCCCCAGCAUAUGGAGUUCCUAGGCCAAGAAUCAGAUCCAAGCCUCGAUUGUGACCUAUGUCAUAGCUGCAGCAACACUGGAUCCUUAACCCACUGCAACCAGCUGGGGAUCGAACCUGAGACCUGCACUGCUGCAGGUGGAUUCUUAACCCACUGUGCCACAGUGGGAACUCAAAGGAUUACAAUUUUGAAACUAAAAUUGAGACUACUUCAAAAACAGACCAUAACCUCAAAUUUCCUAUCUCAACGGAUACCACUCUGCUUAUCAUAGAUCCAUUUACUCUUUCAUUUAUUCAACCUUCUUUAAAAGAUGUAACUCUAUUUGUAAGGCACAAAUUAUACCAUAUGGUAAUAUAGCUUUAUCAAAAUGUCACUUUCUUUAUAAUUUAUAUAUUUGGUAAUAUUUUAAUGACUGGUUUAUUAAUGAUUCGUCCAGCAAUUGUGUGGUUGUCAAUUUAACUUGGAUUUUCUAUGGCUUUUGACAUAGAUAUUUUGCUGUUAUUAUUUGUCACAUAGUUUUAUGAAUAGAUUGUCUUCAUCAUGAAUUAUACCUGAAGGAGUUAUUGCAUAUAAUGAGGAUUUUGUAGGGCAUACCACACAUAGGCAAAAGUAGUGAUGAUUAAGUCUUAAAAAUUACCUUUUUUGGCUUAUUGAAAAAGUUUUGUUUUCAUUUUUUGUUGUUGUUUUUGUUUUUCGUUUUUUUGUUUUUGAAGGAACACUAUGCACUUGUCACUGUGCUAGAGAUGGUCUCUGGACCCAAGGAAUUCACAUUUUAGUGAAAUUCAGAAUACAGCCUUAAUAUGGAAUGUAAUGUUUUUAUCAAUAUAAAAGUUAGUAUUUUUAUUCUCUUAAAUAUCACUAAUGAAACUCCUGUUUGUCUUUCGUCUUGUUUGUCUAAUACAUGUUUGCCCAUUUUUUCAAAAAUUUUAGUGUAACUUUGCUCUAGCUUUUUGCACUGUGAACAGUAUAUAAUUCAAUUUACUUUUGCUUUUGUUCAUUGACAUAAUCUUAAAGCAUUUUUGCUUCAGUAGGGGAUUUUAUCCUAUGAACAUUUAUAACAAUAAUUGAUGUUAUUGGUUAUAUUUGUUUCCUUGUUUUAUGUUUUUGGUUUAUUAGACUUCCUUGUUGUUUCAUUUAUUUUCUGCCUGUUUAUUAUAUGCACAAAACCAUUCUACUCUAUGCAAUGACUUGAAAGUGAAACAUUUUAAAACUUCCAGUGCUAUUUGUCUCCAAGUUUCCAAAACCUACGUGAGUCUACUUCUCCUAAUAGGAAAAUUAAACAAAUACACAAAAAUGUUAAUCUCUCUAAUGCUGGAGGAAAAUCAAUAUCUUUGAUUAUUCUGCCUCAUACCCAUUUCUAUUUUCUUGUCAAUUCAAUCUUGAAAUAUGAACCCCAAUUAUCUUUAUUUCUGAGAAACCCUAAGUAUUCCUCUUAUUUAUCCAUCCCAAUGGGAACUGAUUUAGAUUUGUCAUUUCAUGUUAAUAUUUCAGUGAUCCUGAGUACUAUUUAAAUGUUAUGAACUACGCAUUUGUAACUUCUUCAUUUGUACUUACCUCAAGGUCAGCUGUUCAGUGGGAGUAAGUCUUUAAGACAUUCAGUCCACUUCUCCCCUCAGCACCCCAAAGCCAUCAUGUUUCUGAGAAAAUCUUUGCUGCAUUUAUAUGUAUAUAUCAACUUACUUGGAUGUUGACAUUUUGUUUCAGAAUUGCUUUCUCUCAAAAUUUUAUGGUUGGUUAUUGUUUCACUAUCUUUCAGAAUUUCAUGUUGUAGAGAAUUGUUACUGUGAGAUUGUUUUUAAGUCACCAGGUUUUGUUAUUGUUGUGUUCUGCUUGAAAGACAGUAGGAUUUUUUUUUUUCUUUUUCUUGAGGCUGAAGAUGCCACUAAUAUUUCUCUAGGGAAGGGUCUCUUCAGUUUUGCCUAGAAAAUAAUCAUUUUUCAGACUUGAGACUUUCUUUAUUUUUACUUCAUUAGUUAUUGUCAUCUUUCAUUCAUUCUCAGUUUGGUUUUUUUUUGUUUGUUUUUGUUUAGUUGUUGUUUCUUUUAUUUUUAUGGCCACACCUAUCAUAUGGAAGUUCCCAGGCCAGGGACUGAAUCCAAGCCACAGCUGCCACCUACACUGCAGCUGCAGAAACACCAGGUCCUUUAAACCAUUGCCAGGCACUGAACCUACACCACAGCCACAACCUUAAGCCACAGCAGUGACAACACUGGAUCCUUAACCCACUGAGCCACGAGGGAAGUCCACUGCUAACUUCAUUUCUAACUCUAAAUCCAUUUAGGUAAUAGAUGGGAAGAUUUGUCUCUCAAAUCUAAACCAGAAGUGAAUUGUUCUACUACCUUCAGUUUUAUUUCCAAGAACUAGAUUAGGAUUAUAAACUGUAGAGAGAUUGUAAUGAACUACUGAUAUUGGUCCAAUUCUAAGACUCUGAAAUGGGAAUAAGUGCAGAAUAAAAGUCAUGGUCUCCAAACUGUUUUGAUUAAAAUACCCUAUCAGAAAAGAAAAAAAAAAAACACUCACAAUAUAUAAUACAUGUGAGAGGUGGUGUAUUAGCAAGCUACUGUCACACCUAAGGGUCCUAUUCAGUCAUGGAGUGAGUGCAGUUUUCUAAUUUAAAUAUCCCCUGCAACCCAAACUGGAAGAUAGAUAAAUAGAAAUCUUCUGUUGCAUAUCUUUUGAUUACCAUCCAAGCAUGAACAGGCAAGGAUUAUGUUUAUCAUUCCAGCUCAUCAGUUUUUCAGCUAAUUCUUGAGUAGGCUGACAACUAUUUUUAGGCUUCAUUGCCAUGGUUUAUUUUCAUCACUUUUGUGUGUAGAAUGACAGAAGGAAAACUUCAAGAGCAUUUUAGUUUGAAUGUGGUGUAUGACAUAUCACACAUGACCCAUCUACAAUUCACCCAAGAAAAUCUGAAAGAUCCAUACUCUAAAAUAAAAAUCUGAUUAUGUCAUGCCCCUUGUUAAAAUCCUUCAGUGACUCCCGAUUACCUGUAGAAUAUAAUUAAAACUUCUCCAUGGGGCUAAUAUGGUCAUUUAUGAUCUGACUUCUGCCUUAUUUUUCAGCAUCACUUGUGUCCACUGCUCCAGAAAUACCCUGACCUCUUAUAUUUAGGAACCACUCUAUUCCCAAAAAUCAUUCAUUCCUAAAUUCCAUCAUGUCUAAGUAUGUACUGUUCCUGCCACAGGAAAUAAGGAGUAUCUACUACUCUCCUCUUCUGUCUGUUUGACCAACAAGUCAUUUGCCAGAGAACCAAUAUGUCAAUCACAAGAAAUGGACACUCCAACCACUAUAUGUGAUUUUAUACACACGUAUGUUGGUGUGUGUACACAGGUAUCUACACAUAGGUACAUACAAAUGUAUAUGAUUACAUUAUACAAAGUAUAACUUCAAAAGAAUGAAGACAUCUUCAACCACUUACCUCUUUCUCUCUCUGUUUCAUAACAUGGUACCAUGUUAUGUAUUUAUUCCCAUCCAUCUACCUCCUUCUUUUUUUCUAGAUUGGCUUCUUACCAUCUACCUUAUAUAUUACCCCAAUUUACAUCCCAUAAUCCCUGAAUCCCAAAUACAAGUGUAUAAAUAAGGAAAAUACAAUCUUAUUUGUGUUUACCCAUGACCCAAUAAAUUGCAGCAGAGGUAGAGAAUGUGAAUUUAAGAAAAAUGCCACCUACCAGUCUUUGGCCCAUGUAGCUUCUCUAAGGGGAUGUAUAAGGGCAGCCAGGGAAGAGAGAAAAUAACUGGGAUGUCUGAGCAGGUAGUAGCUUUCAUAUUUCUAUUUACUGGCUGUCUUCUCUACUAGAAUGAAUUUCUUCUGAAAAAACUUUUGUCUUUAUAAUCUUUAUAUGAUUAGAGUCUAGCACAUAAUUGGAACAUAGUUAAUUAUUUACUAAGUUUAUGGAUAUAGGGUGGUAAACUAAAAAGGAGUAACUUUCUAGAAAGUAUUUUCAUAUAAGGAAGUCAGAUCUAUUUGUAGGCAGGGAGGUUGGGCAAUCUACAGAUUUGAUGCAAUUCCUAUCAAAAUAUCAAUGGCAGUUUUCAUAGAACUAGAAAAAAUAACUUCAACAUUUGUAUGGAAAGACAAAAGACCCAACAUAGCCAAAACUAUCUUGAGAAAGAACAGAGCCAGAGGUAUCACACUCUGGCUUCAGACUAUACUACAAAGCUACAGCCAUCAAAACAGUAUGGUACUCACACAAAAACAGGCACAUAGAUCAAUGGAAAAAAAGUGAUAGCCCAGAAAUAGACCCAUGCACUUAUGGUCAAUUAAUUUACCAAAAAAAAAAAGAAGGAAAGAUGCACAACAGAGAAAAGACAGUCUCUUCAGUAAAUGGUGCUGGGAAAACUGGACAGCAACAUGCAAAAGAAUGAAAUUAGGACAUUUUCUAACACCAUACACAAAAAAUAAACUCAAAAUGGAUUAAAGGCCUAAAUGUAAGACCAGAAAUCAUAAAGCUCCUAGAAGAAAACAUAGAUGUAAUUAAUUCUGUUUGACAUAAAUUGUAGUGAUACUUUGGGGAACUGUAUCCUAAAGCAAAGGGAACAGAAGCAAAAAUAAACAAAUGGGAUCUAGUUAAACUUAAAAACUUUUGCACAGCAAAGGA